CCAACACGCCUCCCUUCCUUCCCCAUUUCCUCGCCCGCCGACCCGCUAUAAAAAUCCAAGCCCAUCCAUCCCUUCCCCCAUCCAUCGGCGGUCUCCCUCCCUCUUCCACCCCUCUCUCUCCUGCCAUAAUAUCAUCGUGGCCUCUCCCUCCCUCCAUCCUCUCUGAUUGCCCCCGCGCUCGCCAUGGAGGCCGCCGCGUCCACGCUGCUCCUCUCCGCCGACGCGCCCCUCGCCGCCGGCCGCCGCCUCCUUCUCGUCCCUUCUCGGCCCGCGCGGGCACGGCGGGGCGCCGCGCCCAGCAGGUGCCCGCGGGCGUCCGUCCGCGCGUACGCCGCGGCGGCCGCGCCAGCACCGGCCUCUGGAAACGGCCUCGCCGGGAAUAACAACGGCGGGUACACUGUUGGUGACUUCAUGACGAAAAGGGAGGAUCUCCAUGUCGUCAAAACGUCAACUCCGGUUGAUGAAGCGCUCGAGAUGCUGGUGCAGAACAGGAUCUCUGGUUUUCCUGUUAUCGAUGACGACUGGGAGUUGGUUGGCGUUGUCUCAGAUUACGAUCUAUUAGCUUUGGACUCAAUGGCAGGGUGUGGACUGGCUGAUACGAAUUCAAAUAUGUUCCCUGAAGUAGAUAGCACUUGGAAGACAUUUCGCGAGAUCCAGAGACUCUUGAGCAAAACCAGUGGCAAAGUUAUCGGUGAUGUUAUGACUCCCUCACCUCUUGUGGUGCGUGAAACUACUAACCUCGACGCUGCUGCAAGGUUGCUACUUGAAACUAAAUACCACAGAUUGCCUGUUGUUGAUAGCGCGGGAAAAUUGGUUGGGAUGAUCACAAGGGGGAAUGUCGUCAGAGCUGCUCUCGAAAUAAAGAAGAAAGCUGAAGGUGCUUAAAUUAGAUGGUUCUUUAUAAGGACACCCCUGGGGUUGAACCUGCGGCAAUUCAUCAAUUCAGCUGAAUUGAAAUAUUGACUGGUAGCGCAGAAGCAGAUUUUCCCUGGAGCAUAGAUGGAUAUAAUGUUGUUUACAAUGUAAUAUAAGUAGUGUAAUGUUGCAGUGAAAUUUCAUAUAGGUAUUGCAUGAGGACAAUUGCGAUUCAUUUGAGGUGAGCAUACUCAGCUGUCUCUCCAUAUUAGGUAGUAGUAGCAUGGUAUAUGAAGGUUAAUGUUCUUUUCUCGAUGGCUUGUACGAGCCUCGAGCAUGUUAAAGUGAUUCAUAUAGUGCAUUCAACCCUUUGAGAUAUGAUGAUGACCUUUCUAAUUGUCCAGAAAAUGAUUUCAUCCUACAACCAAUGAGGUUGUAGCAAAUAAUAUUAAAUCAGAUGCAAGGUUUUGUUGCAACCGUCCCAACGCUCUUAUAUUAUGGGAUGGAGGGUGUAGUUUCCAACAUAUAAUUCAUGCAAUCAUACUGUGGUGUACAAGUUCCAAACAAUCUAUUAGGAGGUGAAAGUGGACGAGGUUAUCUACUAGUUGGGAAAUGAAGCAUGAACAACCUUUUACGAGUUAUUGCUGUUUCAAUUUUAUGCUAACCUUUUGUGAGAUUUAGAUCUUAUUUGUGGUACAGAUAUUCAUAAGUUCUGGUUACCUGCCUUGAGUGAACUGCACUGGUUUUUCCUUGUUCCCUUUUCAAGAAAGAUGGCUUGGUGGCAUACUCGUAGAGAAUGCGAGUUUAUAAUACAAAAUCAGGUCUUGUUUGGAAGGGAAAAAAGAUCCCAAAUCCCCAGAGCCAAAUCUACUUAUUUGAUUGCGCCAUUGGCGCUACUUUGUGGCUGUGUCAAAGCCAUCCACCGCGUCAAAAUAUAUUUUUUGAGCCAUGAAAGACACAAAAUGUUUAUUCGAGUAGCCUGCCCUUGAAAACUCUUUUGUUUAUUUCUUUCCAGACAUGCCACCAAACAUUGAUCAGGACCCGUUGUGGCCGCACUUUUGUUCUUUUGCUGCUGCUGCCACGGUUCUGUUCCCUGGUGGUGAGAAGUUCUAUACAUGUUCCCC
rnacentral:rRNA from 1 species